GACGAACGCUGGCGGCGUGCUUAACACAUGCAAGUCGAGCGGUAAGGCCCUUUCGGGGGUACACGAGCGGCGAACGGGUGAGUAACACGUGGGUGACCUGCCCUCAGCUCUGGGAUAAGCCCGGGAAACUGGGUCUAAUACCGGAUAUGACUCCAUGACGCAUGUUGUGGGGUGGAAAGCCUUGUGCGGCUGAGGAUGGGCCCGCGGCCUAUCAGCUUGUUGGUGGGGUNAUGGCCUACCAAGGCGACGACGGUAGCCGGCCUGAGAGGGCGACCGGCCACACUGGGACUGAGACACGGCCCAGAC
rnacentral:rRNA from 1 species